rnacentral:rRNA from 1 species
ACGCUACUCCGUGCCAGCAGCCGCGGUAAUACGGAGGGUGCAAGCGUUGAUCGGAAUUAUUGGGCGUAAAGCGCGUGCAGGCGGCUCGUUAAGUCUGAUGUGAAAGCCCCGGGCUCAACCCGGGAAGUGCAUUGGAAACUGGCGAACUUGAGUAUGGGAGAGGGAAGUGGAAUUCCGAGUGUAGGGGUGAAAUCCGUAGAUAUUCGGAGGAACACCAGUGGCGAAGGCGGCUUCCUGGACCAAUACUGACGCUGAGACGCGAAAGCGUGGGGAGCAAACAGGAUUAGAUACCCUGGUAGUCCACGCCGUAAACGAUGGGCACUAGGUGUCGCGGG